GCCUGGAUAGCUUAGUUGGUUAGAGUGCAGUGCUGAUAGUGGCAAGGUUGCAGGUUUGAUCCCUGUAUGGGACA
rnacentral:tRNA from 1 species